rnacentral:antisense_RNA from 1 species
UGUGGCUCACGUCUGUCAUCCCAGAGCCUUGGGAGGUCGAGGCGGGAGGAUCGCUUGAGCCCGGGAGCUCGAGACCAGACGCGGCAACUUGGCGAGACCCACAUCUCUGUCUUUAAAAAUGCGAGGCUGGCGGUUACCUUUCUUGGGGAGACGCGUCCGACUGCUUCAUUGUGGGAGCCUCAGGAGCGGAGGAUCGGGUCCCGCCCGAGGUGACGCGUAAACCCGGACUCUCAGCAACGCGGGUAAGAAGGACCCUUGAAGUUCCGCGGCGACCACGUCGGCUGAAACCAGUAGCCCAGGACAAGUGGACCAGCCAGCAAGACCCAGACCAUCCAAACUGGCUGAUCCUACGACAGGACCCAGGUGCCAGUGAAAGUGACCACAGCCCUGCUCUGGUCACUCCGGAAGCUGACCAGUCCACGCACAGCCGAAGCUUCAUCAAGGAAGUAAAUGUAGUUAGAAAUCUUAA